AAGCACUACCCAGCGUAUAUCGGUGUCUCUUUUCUACAACUGCUACAGUCUUCAUUUAAGAUGUCUCGGUAAGCUCCAGUUUAGACCGGUCUCGCAAUAUUAAUUAGCAUGCAUCCAGAAUCCGGAUUAAGAACGACUAUAAUAUGUGCUUAUCUACGUAUCCAAUAAUGAAGUAUCAGCUGCACCAGACCCGUGCUUUUGGAAAGAUUAUAAACACAAGGAUAUUGAAACUACGACAGGCAAGCCGACAGAAGCCCCAGAGUUAAUCGAAGAGUUUAAUCGGUUGAAGGAGAAGAAAAUCAGUCAGUUUGAGCAACUUAUUCGAAAUUGGCGUAAGUAAACGGUUAAACAGACGUCUUCUCAAGCUCUCAGCGACUUUCAAGUUGAAGGUGCAAUGCAACCAACAACAGAUGGCGCUGAACAGCAGUUUCCUAUACACAAAAUCCUUGUUAUAGUGACAUCUAGUGUAGAAGUUUCGAACUAAUAAUAUCCUAAUUUUAUUUCAGUUUUAUCUACUUAUUUAUUUUAGUUGUAGUGCAUGAUUAGGUUGUAAUGUUUAUUAAUUCUGAUUCAAACAGUUUUAUGGAGGCCUGGCGGUCGCAGUAGAGACAGUCAGAUUAAGAACCCAGCGGACAAGCUAAUUAUGAAUUAUGUAAGGUUUUUAUCUAAAUUGCUUGACAGUUUUAAUGUUUCUAAUUUACUGAACUUCAGUCUUUAGUACUUUGGUAUUGUUUGGUAUAUUAUAAGUAAUACAAAACAAUAUGGUUUUGGAUUUUUUAUUGAAACAUCCUACUUUUAUCCCGCAAUGAAACUGUUCCGACAAUGUAAGAAAUAACAUCAUUAUUUUUUACACAU